rnacentral:rRNA from 1 species
GUAGGUGAACCUGCGGAAGGAUCAUUACAGAGUUCAUGCCCGAAAGGGUAGACCUCCCACCCUUGUGUAUUAUUACUUUGUUGCUUUGGCGAGCUGCCUUCGGGCCUUGUAUGCUCGCCAGAGAAUACCAAAACUCUUUUUAUUAAUGUCGUCUGAGUACUAUAUAAUAGUUAAAACUUUCAACAACGGAUCUCUUGGUUCUGGCAUCGAUGAAGAACGCAGCGAAAUGCGAUAAGUAAUGUGAAUUGCAGAAUUCAGUGAAUCAUCGAAUCUUUGAACGCACAUUGCGCCCCUUGGUAUUCCGGGGGGCAUGCCUGUUCGAGCGUCAUUUCAACCCUCAAGCUUAGCUUGGUAUUGAGUCUAUGUCAGUAAUGGCAGGCUCUAAAAUCAGUGGCGGCGCCGCUGGGUCCUGAACGUAGUAAUAUCUCUCGUUACAGGUUCUCGGUGUGCUUCUGCCAAAACCCAAAUUUUUCUAUGGUUGACCUCGGAUCAGGUAGGGAUACCCGCUGAACUUAAGCAUAUCAAUAAGCGGAGGAACCAACAGGGA